rnacentral:rRNA from 1 species
AAUUGGAGGGCAAGUCUGGUGCCAGCAGCCGCGGUAAUUCCAGCUCCAAUAGCGUAUAUUAAAGUUGUUGCAGUUAAAAAGCUCGUAGUUGAAUUUCGGGAUCAAUAUUUCGGUCAUGCCGUUGGUAUGCACUGUUAUCAUUGAUUUCUCACCUUCUAAAGAACCGUAAUGCCAUUAAUUUGGUGUUACGGGGAAUUAGGACUGUUACCUUGAGAAAAUUAGAGUGUUUAAAGCAGGCUCACGCUUGAAUACAUUAGCAUGGAAUAAUGAAAUAGGACAUCCGAUUCUAUUUUGUUGGUUUCUAGGAUCGAUGUAAUGAUUAAUAGGGAUAGUUGGGGGCAUUAGUAUUCAAUUGUCAGAGGUGAAAUUCUUGGAUUUAUUGAAGACUAACUACUGCGAAAGCAUUUGCCAAGGAUGUUUUCAUUAAUCAAGAACGAAAGUUAGGGGAUCGAAGACGAUCAGAUACCGUCGUAGUCUUAACCAUAAACUAUGCCGACUAGGGAUCGGAUGAUGUUAAUUUUUUAAUGACUCAUUCGGCGCCUUACGGGAAACCAAAGUGU